UACAGAGGUCCCAAGCGUUGUUUGGAUUUACUGGGCGUAAAGGGUGCGUAGGUGGCGGGGUAAGUCUGGUGUGAAAGCUCCGAGCUCAACUCGGAAAAGCAUUGGAAACUAUCCCGCUUGAGGGUCGGAGGGGAGACUGGAAUUCUCGGUGUAGCAGUGAAAUGCGUAGAUAUCGAGAGGAACACCAGUGGCGAAGGCGAGUCUCUGGACGACUCCUGACACUGAGGCACGAAAGCUAGGGGAGCAAACAGG
rnacentral:rRNA from 1 species